GAUCCUGGCUCAGGACGAACGCUGGCGGCGUGCCUAAUACAUGCAAGUAGAACGCUGAAGAGAAGAGCUUGCUCUUCUUGGAUGAGUUGCGAACGGGUGAGUAACGCGUAGGUAACCUGCCUGGUAGCGGGGGGAUAACUAUUGGAAACGAUAGCUAAUACCGCAUGACAUUGAUUAUCGCAUGAUAAUUAAAUUGAAAAGAAUGCAAUUGCAUCACUACCAGAUGG
rnacentral:rRNA from 1 species